AUGUACCAGAUGUGUUGGUUAGUUGGCUUUUCCUCUAAGUUUCUUCCUCCCAUUAGGCAUACAUCCCACUUUGCUAGCCAUAACCGUGACACAAGGAACCCAACUGCAUCUUUUAGGAGUCCAGGUGAACCUGCCAAGAAGAAUCCACAGAAAGAAAUGAAAAAUUGCACUGAAAGUGAGGACAAAAUGAAAGUCUUAUUUCUGAAGCCUGCCGAAAUAACAGAAAUUUUAACGGUUUCCUUGGGGCAAAGAUAGAGGAGUGAAAAUAGAUUAUUUGAUGCUUCUCCAGAAUGUGGGCCCAGGGACUUAUAUGUGUACUGUAAGUCUUGGACUUCUUUGGAAGGAAUAGCUCUUGUGGUGGGUUGCUCUGCAGCAAGGAGCACUUUCACUCUAGACAGCAAGGUAUCCUCACUCAGAUUUUAAUAAAACUGAAGAUUCUCAGUACUGUGCUCA
rnacentral:lncRNA from 1 species